CCCCACCUUCAUUGCCUUUCCUCUCUAGGAAUCCAGCUCAGCUCCUUUUAACCCUGGCAAAGCCAGGCACACUCAGCCCUCCCUUUGCAGAGCAGGAGACACGUGUGUUGAGCACCCAGAGCUGCUUCAUUUUUUGUGGGGAAGGGGCGCCAUGGGAGUAGCCAGGAUUUAUGGGGUUUUUUGGGGGUCAGGUGUCUCACCUGUCACCAUCCUCUGUCUGGCUCUGUCCAGCAGAUUCGGAAUGACGUGGGUCAGCAACAGUUGCUUCAAAUUCCUUUCAUUUGAUCCCAAGUGCUCAGAAAAUUUUUUCUACGAUUUGUAGUUUUGGCCAGAAACUGGAGGAGCAGCAUGCAAGAAGCAGGAAGCCCCAUCCUGGAACCAUAGAAUUGUGGAGUUGGAAGGGGCUCCUGAGGGUCAUCCAGUCCAACCCCCUGCAAUGCAGGGAACUCAACUCAAGCAUCCACGAGAGACGGCCAUCCAACCUCUGCUUGAAGCCUCCAGGAAAGGAGAGUCCACCACCUUCCUCCCAUCCUAAUGUUUUUUCUCCUGGUGUUUGCUUGGAAUCUAAUCCUUUGGUUCCCGUUCUCCCCUCCUGAGCAGGAGAAAGCAAACUUCCCCCAUCUGAGAUAUUGGGUCUCAGCUGAGGGAUGAGUGAGGAGGCACACGGUUCCUGCCUUUUCUGGGACAGAAGAGAGGAGGCGGUAGAUCCUUCCCAGGAAAUAUUCCUAGUGAUUUUUAAUGGCAUUUUAGUUCCUGCCCUUCUUCGCUCUACUAUAUUGCAUUGCAGUUUGUAUCCUGUGGAGUAUGAUAUAGUACGAGAUGUAAGAUAUAAAACAAGCUAUAAAAAUACAAUUAGCAGAGAACAUGGCAAAGGCAUCAAGUUCUGAAAGACUCAUUUCUGGGUUCAGUUCUGGAAAAGAAGGAGUGCAAAACCAGAAAAAGAGUCAACGUCACAAGUAAAUUAAAGGCGAGAUACUUAUUGGUAUCACUGCCUACAAAUGGUGGCAGCUGAUAAACACAGAAAGAAGAUGUGUGAGAAUAGGGGAAGCAUAAUACAC